rnacentral:rRNA from 1 species
GUGAGGAAUAUUGGUCAAUGGGCGGGAGCCUGAACCAGCCAAGUCGCGUGAAGGAAGAAGGAUCUAUGGUUCGUAAACUUCUUUUGCAGGGGAAUAAAGUGCAGGACGUGUCCUGUUUUGUAUGUACCCUGAGAAUAAGGAUCGGCUAACUCCGUGCCAGCAGCCGCGGUAAUACGGAGGAUCCGAGCGUUAUCCGGAUUUAUUGGGAUUAAAGGGUGCGUAGGUGGUUUGAUAAGUCAGCGGUGAAAGUUUGCAGCUUAACUGUAAAAAUGCCGUUGAAACUGUCGGACUUGAGUGUAAAUGAGGUAGGCGGAAUGCGUGGUGUAGCGGUGAAAUGCAUAGAUAUCACGCAGAACUCCGAUUGCGAAGGCAGCUUACUAAGCUACAACUGACACUGAAGCACGAAAGCGUGGGGAUCAAACAGGAUUAGAUACCCGAGUAGUCC